UACAGCCUGCAUUUAGGGGUAAAAAUGGGGCAUAAAGAAAAAUGUUAAACUGAGUAAAUAGAUCAUAUAAAUGGCUCUGUUAAAAUCUAGUACUAGACUAUUAAAAAAAAAAACGAAAGUACUCAGUAAUUUUCAUAAGUUAUUCAUCAAUUCCCUGUUCUUAGAUGUGGAGGAAGGGUACAAUAUUGACAAAUCAGCAGGCAAAUAUUUUCAGGCUGAUUUUGUGCUCUUGUCCUCUCAGUUUUCCUCUAUUCAAAUACCUCUUUUGAGUGUUCAUGUUGCCCUCAUAACACCAGGAGUUCUAACAAAACCAGUUUUGCUUAGUUGCCUUUACCAUGUACCAGUGGUUCUUGGCUACAACAAAACAACAUAAAAUAUUAAGGUUUCUUAUGGUUCUCUAGGAUUUGUUGCCCUUCUUCUCAUUGUUCUCUCUAUUCGGGGGCACUGUGUUAUAGCAGAACUGACAGCAGGCUUGGAAUCUAGCAAACUGGGUUUGAAUUCUGUUUUUGCCACAACCAGGCUAGUGAUCUUGUACAAAUGACUCAAGCUUUCUAAACUUCUACUUAUUUACUUGUAAAAUCAAGAAAAAAUACUUAUCUUACUGUACGGUUGUGAAAAUUAAAUAUGAGAAUGCAAAGAAUACCUGGCACACAGUAGGUAUUCAGAUAAUAGUUUCUUUCCCCCCAAGUCACUCCUCAUCCCCUACCAGUCAGAGAAUGAAUUCCCUUGAAGUUUUUGUUUUCAAAUGACUCUACUGGGUCGCAAGUUUUUUUUUUUUUUCCUAGUUACUGUCUACCACAUUAUUUUUAAUAACAUAAAGCAAAUUUCCUGCUAACCCUCUUUCUUUGUGUUUAAUAAUCCAGGCAUGAAAUUGCCUUAAAAUUUGGGGGAAUUAAAUACCAACAUAUAACACAUUUUCUGUGGAGUUGCAAAGUAACAACAUAACAGUAGAAACAUUACCUCUGAUAUGGAACAUUAUGGGAAAAGAACCCCUCAAUUUAAGAUCAAUUUCUAUAUCCUAAAUCAAUAAUUUAAAAUGGUUAUCUUUUUAUAUAAUAACUUUUAAUGUACUGAACACAAGCCAGUGUGCUGGAGGAUGCAAGGGAGAAAAAGAUUAUCAGGGAGAAAACCAACUCUAAAGACCCUUAUAGUUUAGAAGAGGAUUUGAACAUAAAAGAACUACAAAUAGAAAAAGCAAAAAACAAACCCACUGACUUCUAAGAGAUGAUGAUGAUGAAACUAGAAAUAAUAUUUAUAUAGUUACAUGGCAUUCAUCAUAUAGCAGAUAUCAUUCUUAAAGCUUUUCCUUUAACAACUCAUUUAAUUCUCAUGACAACCUUAUUAUGUGAGGACUAUUAAUAGAUCAUAAAUGAUUUCCUCCUAGUGACUGAGAUUUAAUAUUAUUUCUUUAAAAGAAUCCAAUUGCCAACCUGAUCUUACAUUUGUAAACUAAAUUCUUUCUUUACUCUCCUAGUAGCUUCUAUUUUUCCACUCUAAUUUUUAUCAGUAACUUUAAACUGAGGAGUAAGAGAAGGAGCUGAACACUAGCCAAUUUUAUUUCAGCAGCAGAGAAUGGUGGAAGAGGAUAAAGUUCCUGGAACCAGCUUGAUAUUCUUUGUGCAGAAGCUAGCCUGGAGCCAGUAGACAGGAAUAGGCAGAAGCAGAAUAACACCGCAGGACUUGAAAACCCUACAAGCCAGAAGAGAGUGGGGGCCAAUAUUCA